CGACCAGGGCUACACACGUGCUACAAUGGCGCAUACAAAGAGAAGCGACCUCGCGAGAGCAAGCGGACCUCAUAAAGUGCGUCGUAGUCCGGAUUGGAGUCUGCAACUCGACUCCAUGAAGUCGGAAUCGCUAGUAAUCGUGGAUCAGAAUGCCACGGUGAAUACGUUCCCGGGCCUUGUACACACCGCCCGUCACACCAUGGGAGUGGGUUGCAAAAGAAGUAGGUAGCUUAACCUUCGGGAGGGCGCUUACCACUUUGUGAUUCAUGACUGGGGUGAAGUCGUAACAAGGUAACCGUAGGGGAACCUGCGGUUGGAUCACCUCCUUA
rnacentral:rRNA from 2 species